UGGGGAAUAUUGGACAAUGGGCGCAAGCCUGAUCCAGCAAUGCCGCGUGUGUGAAGAAGGCCUUCGGGUUGUAAAGCACUUUUAUCAGGAGCGAAACGCUGUCGGCUAAUACCCGGCGGAACUGACGGUACCUGAGGAAUAAGCACCGGCUAACUUCGUGCCAGCAGCCGCGGUAAUACGAAGGGUGCAAGCGUUAAUCGGAAUUACUGGGCGUAAAGCGUGCGUAGGCGGUUUCUUAAGUCUGCUGUGAAAUCCCCGGGCUCAACCUGGGAAUGGCAGUGGAUACUGGGAGGCUAGAGUGUGUCAGAGGGUGGUGGAAUUCCCGGUGUAGCGGUGAAAUGCGUAGAGAUCGGGAGGAACAUCAGUGGCGAAGGCGGCCACCUGGGACAACACUGACGCUGAGGCACGAAAGCGUGGGGAGCAAACAGGAUUAGAUACCCUGGUAGUCCACGCCCUAAACGAUGCGAACUGGAUGUUGGUCUCAACUCGGAGAUCAGUGUCGAAGCUAACGCGUUAAGUUCGCCGCCUGGGGGAGUACGGUCGCAAGACUGAAACUCAAAUGAAUUGAC
rnacentral:rRNA from 1 species